rnacentral:rRNA from 1 species
GACGAACGCUGGCGGCGUGCUUAACACAUGCAAGUCGAGCGAUGAAGCUUCUUCGGAAGUGGAUUAGCGGCGGAUGGGUGAGUAACACGUGGGUAACCUGCCUCAUAGAGGGGAAUAGCCUUCCGAAAGGAAGAUUAAUACCGCAUAAGAUUGUAAUAUCGCAUGAUAUAGCAAUUAAAGGAGCAAUCCGCUAUGAGAUGGACCCGCGUCGCAUUAGCUAGUUGGUGAGGUAACGGCUCACCAAGGCGACGAUGCGUAGCCGACCUGAGAGGGUGAUCGGCCACAUUGAGACUGAGACACGGCCCAGACUCCUACGGGAGGCAGCAGUGGGGAAUAUUGCACAAUGGGGGAAACCCUGAUGCAGCAACGCCGCGUGAGUGAUGACGGUCUUCGGAUUGUAAAGCUCUGUCUUUAGGGACGAUAAUGACGGUACCUAAGGAGGAAGCCACGGCUAACUACGUGCCAGCAGCCGCAGUAA